UACGUAGGUGGCGAGCGUUGUCCGGAAUUACUGGGUGUAAAGCGCGUGUAGGCGGGAGGCCAAGUCUGCUGUGAAAUCGCCCGGCUCAACUGGGCGGGGUCGGUGGAAACUGGUCACCUGGAGGACGGUAGAGGCGAGUGGAAUUCCCGGUGUAGUGGUGAAAUGCGUAGAGAUCGGGAGGAACACCGGUGGCGAAGGCGGCAUCCUGGACCACGACUGACGCUGAGGAGCGAAAGCCAGGGGAGCAAACGGG
rnacentral:rRNA from 1 species